rnacentral:rRNA from 1 species
CCCUAUUAUUUUAGAAUGUUAAUUUUUGUUUGCUUGAGUAGUAUUAGUUAUGUUCUUGAAACUUAAAGAAUUUGGCGGUAUCUCAUUCCGUUCAGAGGAAUCUGUCUCGUUAUCGAUAGUCCGCGUUGGACCUUACUUAGUUGCUUUGGUUUGUAUACCGCCGUUUAUUGAUUAUCUUUUUAGAGUUUUUAAUUUUCUUUAUUUUCUAUUUUGAUUUAUUUCAGGUCAAGGUGCAGCUUGUUUCUAAGUGAAUGAUGGAUUACAUUAUUAUUUGUUUUUGGAUUGUUUUAUUUGAAUUUGGACAUGAAAUUGGAUUUGGUUGUAAUAAUUUGUAGAUUGUUAUUAUGAUAAUUGGUUCUGAGAUAUGCACACAUCGCCCGUCGCUCUCGUUUAUUAAUGAGAUAAGUC